CAAACAGGUGUCCUUGCUUACUUCAGACCUGGAAGAUCAGUGGAGGUGACACAGAAUUGCUGGUUGGGGCAGGCUGUCCCAUGGCACGAAUUUCUGCACAUUCUAUCGUGUGUCUGGAGAAGGGAGCAAGGGUGCAGCGGGGACCACUCAUGCCUGAACAAUCUACCUCAUGUGGAGAGAAUCUGCUGGGUGUGCUUGUGGAAGUCAACCAAUCCAGUUUGCCAACUUCCUGUAAUACAACUGGUCAGUGGCCAAGGUCACAAAAAACAGAAUCUGACUCAAAGACCAGUGUUCUUUGUCACCCCCAGCCUGACCAUUCAUUUAGUCAGUCAACAAACAUCCAUUGACCUGCUUCUAUAUACUGGGCAAUCAGGAAGCAAAGACACGCCCAGGCUAUGAGGGUAUGGAUCACAAAAAGGAACCUUGAAACUAUCAGGAAUUCUGAUCAUCAUGCUCAGAGUCAAGGCAAGAAGAAGGAGGAAAGAGUGGGGAAUGAGCAAGUCCAGCAGAUCUCCAGCAGACCAUCAAGAGAGAGAGACAGCAAGAGAGAGCACAAGCAGGAGGAGCAUCACGCAGAG